rnacentral:rRNA from 1 species
UACGUAGGGUGCGAGCGUUAAUCGGAAUUACUGGGCGUAAAGCGUGCGCAGGCGGUUUUGUAAGCCAGAUGUGAAAUCCCCGGGCUUAACCUGGGAAUGGCAUUUGGGACUGCAAGGCUUGAGUGCGGCAGAGGAGACUAGAAUUCCUGGUGUAGCAGUGAAAUGCGUAGAUAUCAGGAGGAAUACCGAUGGCGAAGGCAGGUCUCUGGGCUGACACUGACGCUCGUGCACGAAAGCGUGGGGAGCAAACAGG